UGGGGAAUAUUGCACAAUGGGCGCAAGCCUGAUGCAGCGACGCCGCGUGAGGGAUGACGGCCUUCGGGUUGUAAACCUCUUUCAGCAGGGACGAAGCGCAAGUGACGGUACCUGCAGAAGAAGCACCGACCAACUACGUGCCAGCAGCCGCGGUAAUACGUAGGGUGCGAGCGUUGUCCGGAAUUACUGGGCGUAAAGAGCUCGUAGGCGGUUUGUCGCGUCGUCUGUGAAAUUCUGCAGCUUAACUGCAGGCGUGCAGGCGAUACGGGCAGACUUGAGUACUACAGGGGAGACUGGAAUUCCUGGUGUAGCGGUGAAAUGCGCAGAUAUCAGGAGGAACACCGGUGGCGAAGGCGGGUCUCUGGGUAGUAACUGACGCUGAGGAGCGAAAGCGUGGGUAGCGAACA
rnacentral:rRNA from 1 species